rnacentral:misc_RNA from 1 species
GUGAAUCAUCAAAUUUUUGAACGCAUAUUGCACUCUCUGGUAAUCCGGAGAGUAUGCCUAUUUGAGGGUCAUUUGAAAUAAUAAAAGUUGCGAGAUAUUCUUGGAGUCAAAGAGGGGACGGUGCAGCUCUCGUGUGGUGGUAGCCUUAAAUGCAAGACAAGCUGAUUACUUGGGAUGUGUGAUACUUUUAGUUACCUGGUGACUUCACAAGGAAUCUUCGAGAGAGGUGAGAAUUAUGCAAGAGAUAAG